GUGUCAGCCGCCGCGGUAAUACGUAGGGCGCAAGCGUUGUCCGGAAUUAUUGGGCGUAAAGAGCUCGUAGGCGGUCUGUCACGUCUGCCGUGAAAACCCGAGGCUUAACCUCGUGGCUUGCGGUGGAUACGGGCAGACUAGAGGUAGGUAGGGGAGAACGGAAUUCCCGGUGUAGCGGUGAAAUGCGCAGAUAUCGGGAGGAACACCGGUGGCGAAGGCGGUUCUCUGGGCCUUACCUGACGCUGAGGAGCGAAAGCAUGGGGAGCGAACAGGAUUAGAAACCCUUGUAGUCC
rnacentral:rRNA from 1 species